rnacentral:tRNA from 1 species
AGUAAGGUAGUUAAAAAAUAAUGAAAAAUUGUAAAUUUUUAGUUACUUUUAUGUUCUUAUUA